ACCUUCGUGGUGUAGUGGUCAGCACGUUGGGCACAUAUUCUAGAGGUCUGUGGUUCAAGUCCCGGCAAAGGUG
rnacentral:tRNA from 1 species